GUUCUAGAUAGUCUUCUACAAUUCUAUGUUUAAAAUAAAUGUUUAAGUUUCUUCUUGUUAAUCUUUCUCUGUUCUCCGGUAGUUGUUGGUUUUUGUUUUUGUUUUUUAAUUCUUUAAAAAUGACAGAGUUUGUUUUGGAGCCUGAGGGUGGGCAAGAAUUUGAGUGGCCUGUGGCCUGCUCCUCUCAGGGUUCUGGGAGAUGCAGACGGAGGUGGAAGAGUGGAUGGUGGCAGAUGGGAAAAGGAAGCAAGCUGGCCAAACCUGUGGGGACGGGAAGAGAAGAGGAGGUGGACAGGACUUUGGCGCUGGCCUGACACAUGGCCCCUGGGGCUUCACAGCGAAGAAGGCCGGCUGCAUUCCCCUCCACUGAGCUUGAUUGUGAGAGUAUGGAAUUUCCUUCUUUAAAAUUUGGAAAAAUAGUUCUCAUUCUGAAUCCAAAGUGGCUGGUAAAGAUGAUCUCAUAAGGAUUUCUUCCAGGCCAAACUCUAUGGUGGUGACGAUGACUUCUGGUUAUUGCGACAGACACAAAUGAAGAAGAAGAGCAAAGCAAUGGCCAGGGGGAUGGCAACACUCGGCACCAGGAUGUACAGGAUCUCCAUUUUAUUCUUCUCCUUGGAAUCCUUUGAAUCUGGGUGCAGAAAUGGAAAAGAGCAAAUGUUAUACUAGUUUAAAUAACAUGGAUGAUAUUACACUGCAGAGUUUAAAACGACCUCCUCUUCUUCUAUACAUAAAAAUGUAUUGUGAGAAAAAGGAACCAUUGCUUAUUACAAUUUGUUUCCAUCAAACCUUCAACGUGAUUUAUUAAAGUUUAAAGUUCAAACGUUUAAAAAUUGCAGAGGGACAUUAUGAAGACUUUGCGUGUGUCUGGGUCCCCCUCAGAUGUUGCAUCUCUUUAGCCUGCAUUUCUCCAACACCUUAAAAGUUAAACGCCACGUGGAUGGACUGUAUACAUCCAAGAACAUUAAUGUGGACCACAGGGGUCUUCUUCUGUUGGCUGCUAGCCCAAAUCAACCAGAAGUCAUGCCCGUGUCUUGGCUGGUUUGGAUAUACAGGGCCAAUCCUGCAUCUUCCAGAAUCAACAUCACCAAAGAAUCCUGGCCCCAGGGUCCACAAAGCGACAGGCCUGAGAUGACAGGGACCCCAAGUCAGGGCCAGCUCAGUUUCUGAUGAGCUGUGUGAUCCUGAACAAACCACUCACCUCUCUGGGUCUUUUUCUCAUCCACAAAAGUGAAGUAUCUGUUUUGGAUGGUGUCUAUGAUAACCUCUAGCACAACAUCACUGUAUAACCUGACACUAUUUUGAAACUCAAGAGUUCUUCUUAAAUGGUUUCAUAUGAACUCAAGAAUUGUGAGCGCUAACAAUUGAAAGUAUACUUUCGAAAUCUUAUACAUCCACUGUUACCAUUGCUUGGAAAAGAAUGUAACAUGUAUAGAAGGACAUGAGGACACAUACUUUUCUUUUUUUUUUUUUGGUUUGGGUCUGACCAUUAAACUAAAUGCCCUGGGGCAUACUAUAAUUAAUGAAUUAUUUGACUGGUAAAACAAAUGCAAGCAUUGUGGGACAGUAA